rnacentral:rRNA from 1 species
AGAGUUUGAUCCUGGCUCAGGAUGAACGCUAGCUACAGGCUUAACACAUGCAAGUCGAGGGGCAGCGGGAUUGAAGCUUGCUUCAAUUGCCGGCGACCGGCGCACGGGUGAGUAACGCGUAUCCAACCUUCCGUACACUCAGGGAUAGCCUUUCGAAAGAAAGAUUAAUACCUGAUGGUAUGAUGAGAUCGCAUGGUAUCAUCAUUAAAGAUUUAUCGGUGUACGAUGGGGAUGCGUUCCAUUAGGUAGUAGGCGGGGUAACGGCCCACCUAGCCAACGAUGGAUAGGGGUUCUGAGAGGAAGGUCCCCCACAUUGGAACUGAGACACGGUCCAAACUCCUACGGGAGGCAGCAGUGAGGAAUAUUGGUCAAUGGACGAGAGUCUGAACCAGCCAAGUAGCGUGAAGGAUGAAGGUCCUACGGAUUGUAAACUUCUUUUAUACGGGAAUAAAGUGGUCCACGUGUGGGCUUUUGCAUGUACCGUAUGAAUAAGCAUCGGCUAACUCCGUGCCAGCAGCCGCGGUAAUACGGAGGAUGCGAGCGUUAUCCGGAUUUAUUGGGUUUAAAGGGAGCGCAGACGGGAGAUUAAGUCAGUUGUGAAAGUUUGCGGCUCAACCGUAAAAUUGCAGUUGAUACUGGUUUCCUUGAGUGCAGUUGAGGCAGGCGGAAUUCGUGGUGUAGCGGUGAAAUGCUUAGAUAUCACGAAGAACUCCGAUUGCGAAGGCAGCUUACUAAGCUGUAACUGACAUUGAUGCUCGAAAGUGUGGGUAUCAAACAGGAUUAGAUACCCUGGUAGUCCACACGGUAAACGAUGAAUACUCGCUGUUUGCGAUAUACAGUAAGCGGCCAAGCGAAAGCA